AUUGAACGCUGGCGGCAUGCUUUACACAUGCAAGUCGAACGGUAACAGGUUAAGCUGACGAGUGGCGAACGGGUGAGUAAUGCAUCGGAACGUGCCCGAUCGUGGGGGAUAACGCAGCGAAAGCUGCGCUAAUACCGCAUACGAUCUGAGGAUGAAAGCGGGGGACCGUAAGGCCUCGCGCGAUCGGAGCGGCCGAUGUCAGAUUAGGUAGUUGGUGGGGUAAAGGCUCACCAAGCCGACGAACUGUAGCUGGUCUGAGAGGACGACCAGCCACACGGGGACUGAGGCACGGCCCCGACCCCUACGGGAGGCAGCAGUGGGGAAUUUUAGGCAAUGGGAGGAAGCCUUAUCCAGGAAUGCGGGGUGAGAGAAAGAGGCCUUGGGGUUGGAAACUUCUUUUGUGAGGGAGGAAAAGGUUUCUAAUAACAAGGGGGGACAGUGACGGUACCGAAAAAAAAAGCCACGGCUAACUACGGG
rnacentral:rRNA from 1 species